CCAAAUCACAUGGAAGCACCAGUUCCCAUACAAUCCCUGAAGUUAAGCAAUGUUGAGCUUGGUCAGUACCUAGAUGGGUGACCACUUUGGAAUAUCAGCUGCUACAA